rnacentral:rRNA from 1 species
GACGAACGCUGGCGGCGUGCCUAAUACAUGCAAGUCGAGCGGACUUAAAAAGCUUGCUUUUUAAGUUAGCGGCGGACGGGUGAGUAACACGUGGGCAACCUGCCUGUAAGACUGGGAUAACUUCGGGAAACCGGAGCUAAUACCGGAUAAUCCUUUCCUACUCAUGUAGGAAAGCUGCAAGACGGUUUACGCUGUCACUUACAGAUGGGCCCGCGGCGCAUUCGCUAGUUGGUGAGGUAACGGCUCACCAAGGCGACGAUGCGUAGCCGACCUGAGAGGGUGAUCGGCCACACUGGGACUGAGACACGGCCCAGACUCCUACGGGAGGCAGCAGUAGGGAAUCUUCCGCAAUGGACGAAAGUCUGACGGAGCAACGCCGCGUGAGUGAUGAAGGUUUUCGGAUCGUAAAACUCUGUUGUUAGGGAAGAACAAGUACGAGAGUAACUGCUCGUACCUUGACGGUACCUAACCAGAAAGCCACGGCUAACUACGUGCCAGCCGCCGCGGUAA